GAAAGGAACUGGAAGAUCAGAGGUGCGGAGCAUCACUCCUGGAUGUGCACUUCAUUUCCCUUUCCCUGAAAGCUUAGUUGUGAUUUAAGUAUUGUUUGGCUGGAUCCCCUCCCCUAAGAGUUCCUUCAAACAACUUCCAUAGGUUACAUUCAGUGGAUGGCAUAAUUGCUGAGCCCCAUCAUAGCUGAGAUUUUUUAUUUGUGUGCGUUAGUCUGGGUUCUCCAGAG
rnacentral:lncRNA from 1 species